UGGAUUAGUGUUGCUUCUUUGAUUGGUCU
rnacentral:piRNA from 1 species